GAAUAUUAGUGACAAUGGGCGCAAGCCUGACCCAGCAAUACCGCGUGUGUGAAGAAGGCCUGAGGGUUGUAAAGCACUUUCAAUUGGGAGGAAAACCUGCCGGUCAAUACCCGGCAGCUUGACAUUACCUUUAGAAGAAGCACCGGCUAACUCCGUGCCAGCAGCCGCGGUAAUACGGAGGGUGCGAGCGUUAAUCGGAAUUACUGGGCGUAAAGCGUGCGUAGGCGGUUAUUUAAGUCAGAUGCGAAAGCCCCGGGCUUAACCUGGGAACUGCAUUUGAUACUGGGUAACUAGAGUUUAGUAGAGGAGAGUGGAAUUUCAGGUGUAGCGRUGAAAUGCGUAGAGAUCUGAAGGAACACCAGU
rnacentral:rRNA from 1 species